rnacentral:rRNA from 1 species
UACAGAGGGCUCAAGCGUUGUUCGGAUUCAUUGGGCGUAAAGGGUGCGUAGGCGGCGCGGUAAGUCGGGUGUGAAAUCUCGGAGCUUAACUCCGAAACUGCAUUCGAUACUGCCGUGCUUGAGGACUGGAGAGGAGACUGGAAUUUACGGUGUAGCGGUGAAAUGCGUAGAUAUCGUAGGGAAGACCAGUGGCGAAGGCGGGUCUCUGGACAGUUCCUGACACUGAGGCACGAAGGCCAGGGGAGCAAACGGG